UACGGAGGAUCCAAGCGUUAUCCGGAUUAUUGGGUUUAAAGGGUGCGUAGGCGGCCUGUUAAGUCAGGGUGAAGACGGUAGCUUAACUAUCGCAGUGCCUUGAUACUGAUGGCUUGAAUGAACUAGAGGUAGGCGGAAUGUGACAAGUAGCGGUGAAUGCAUAGAUAUGUCACAGAACACCAAUUGCGAAGGCAGCUUACUAUGGUUAUUGACACUGAGCACGAAGCGUGGAUCAACAGG
rnacentral:rRNA from 1 species